rnacentral:rRNA from 1 species
UUUAAUUUUUAUUAAAAUUAAAAGUGGUGAACAGGUGAGUAAAAGAUAUUAUUUGCCGGCCUUAAAGAGAAAAUAAAUCUUUCAUAAUAAAUAAAGGUUGUAUAAAACAACUGCUUUAAGAGGACGAUAAAUAUCGUCGAGAUAGGUAGUAGUUAAGGUGAUGACUUAACUAGCUUAAGAUUCUCGUAGUCGAAUCUGAGAGGAUGAUCGACCACAUUGGGUCUGAAAAAACCCCAAUGCACAAUUGUACAGCAGUGAGGAAUUUUGGUCAAUGGCCUAACGGCUGAACUGGCAACUCGGAAAAGUGAUAAGUCCUGUUAGAUAUAAUAAGAUCUAAGGGGAUUAUAUUCUACGGAAUGAAGCUUUAUUUAUAUAUUGAUGAUGACAGUAUAUAAUGAAUAGUCUUGACCAAUUGCGUGCCAGCCGUCGCGGUAAUACGUAAAAGGCUAGCGUUAUUCAUCUUAAUUCGGUUUAAAGGGUACCUAGACGGCCCGUGGUAACAUCCAGCCUUGGGCGGGGUGGUAAAAAUUGGCUAGAGUUAGAUAAGAGAGGGGAGAACUUUAGGUGGAGGGAUAUAAUCUGUUGAUACUUAAGGGACUCGGUGAGGGCGAAGGCGCCCCUCUAUGUAGUAACUGACGUUGAGGGACGAAGGCAUAGGUAACGAAAAGGAUUAGAGACCCUUGUAGUCUACGCAGUAAAUGCUGAAUGUCAUAGAUAAGAAUUAAUAUAAUAGGUAGGUAUUGAGUUUGAUGCCUACCACUUCCCCUUUUGCUCGGUUUAGUGGUGGUUAAGAGAAAUAUGAACAAUAAAUCACAGACACUAGGGUUUUGUUUUCUUUCUAAUAAAUAAGAGGUUGUAAUACUAAACAACCGAAUAACCUAAUUAGAAAGGUAAAAAAUUAUAUUCUAUUUUGUUUAUAAACGAAAGAGUAAGCAUUCCACCUCAAGAGUACUGUGGCAACGCUGGAACUGAAAAAAAAAAUCAAAACAAAUAAGGUAAGAAGAGUAGGUCUAAUAUAGCUUUAGACAAAUCUUGCCUAGGGGGUGAAAAUCCCUCUUCAUGGACAAAUUCAACUAAUAACUCUUUUGUUAGAGGAUUAAUUUUAACGAGAUUAGAGAGUCGAUCUAGAUUUCAUAGCAAUAAUAUACUACCGGUAAAAAAGCAUUUUAGUAGUUUCAACUGUAAACUAGCAGAGUCUAGCUCCAUCGUGUUUUAUCAAUGGUUUGCAGGGUUUUGUGAUGCAGAAGCUUCAUUUGUAAUAAAUGUGAAGUAUGAUGAUAAUAAGACAAAGAUUAAAGCUAUUAGUUUUGUAUUUAAUAUUACUCUACAUAUUGACGAUUUAGGAGUGCUGGAAUUUAUUAAAAAUAAUUUAAAAAUAGGUAACACCAGGAUUAAAAUAAUUAAACAAGGAAAAGAAGAACAAGCUGAAUUUACUAUAUCUAAGAAGGAGGAGUUAUAUUUUUUAUUCACUAUUCUGGAUAAAUACAAUCUAAAUACAACCAAGUAUUUGGAUUAUUUAGACUUUCGUAAGGGUGCCCUUUUAUAUCAUGAAAGAGGAAAGCAUUUAAAUCCAGAGGAUAAAUACCGGUUAAUGAAUGAGAUAAUAGAGUUAAAGCAAGGUAUGAAUAAUCAACGGACUAGUAUAGAUAUACCUCUUUUAUUGGAAAAAAAUUCUAUUAGCAAAAGCUGGUUACUAGGGUUUAUAGAAGGAGACGGAUGCUUUUUUAUUUCUAGGACUGAUAUAGAACCUGGUUUUUCUAUCGAACUAUCGCAUGUUCAAUUAUAUUUACUGGAAUUAAUUAAAGAAUUUUUAAUAGAUGAGUUAGGAUUGGAUAAAUAUUCUAUUUAUAAAGUGAGAAGCUCAUUUUCUAAUAUAAUAGCGAUCCAAAGUCUGAUGAAAAAACCUAGCGCACUUUUAAUUAUAAAAAAUAUUGGUCUAUUAAAUAAUUAUUUAAUCCCCUAUCUUACGACGGGCCACAAUAAAUUCCACUCAAAAAAAGCACAAGACUUUUUGGAUUUUAAACUUAUCUGCUUCUGCGUCUACAAAGGUGCUCAUAAAACAGAAGAGGUGAAAUCAUUAAUAUUGAGAUUAUCUUAUAGUAUGAACAGCUACCGUUUAUCGUCAAGUAAAAGAAAAGAGCAGCCUCUUACUCCACAGGAAAGAGAUUUUAUACAUAAUGCUUUACCUGGCUGGCAGCGCCUGGAAGAUGGUAGAUUAAGAGAAAUAGCCAGCGGAAAAGUAGUAAUUCACACUUCGCACUGUAUCUAUGAAAUAAUCGAACCUAAUGGAGAAGUUUUAAUUUUAGAUUCUUUGAACGAUGUUUUAAAAAAAUUAGACGUAGUUUAUAGAACUCUAAAUAGACAUAUAGAAGAAUGAGGAAAUUGAAAUGAGUUUAGGGGAUAUAAAGUAAGGAGAGUUUCUGUGUUUAGGGGAGGUCAAGAUAGGUAAGAUAAAAAGUUAAAACUGUGGUGGAGGCUGAUAAGGUUACAACCGAACAGGUUACUAGAGCGUCCAAUGAAUAACAGGUGAAAACGGUUAAGGAUUUCUAGGUCUAAGACCGUCGGCAGUUGUAAAUGCCGCUACAGACUGGAUCACCAGGGCAGGGCUAAAAUGCCCGUGCAAAUGUACAGUCGAAUUUUGUAACGAGUGCGAUAUCGUAAGGAGGAAUAGAUAGGAACCGAAACGCAAUAGAAGGUACCCGCCAUACUACUCAAUGGUAAAAACUCCUGAUCAUAAGAUCUAGUUAAGCAAAAGCGAAAAUAAAAAGAUAAAAUUUGUUUUGAUUAACGUGUAUGAAAUAAUUCAGUGGGGGUUCGAAUCCCUCUCUAUAAAAUUAUAUUCUUAACUAUUUUAGUUAAUGUGUUAGGCCCUCUUCUAUAUUGCAGCAUAAAAAUAAUAAAUGCAGGAGCAAAUCCUCAGAUAGACUCAAGGUUGGUCGUUAGUAGUUGUAAGAUAUAUAAAUAAAUACAGAGUUAUAAAGAUUAGUGUUGUUGUAUCCUUUCCUAUCCUUUUUAUGAAAAGGAUAUAUAUAUAUAUGAGAUAACAAAGGUUUUUAUUUAUAAUAACCAGAAGUCAAAACUUACUCUAUUGAUUACUACCGAGUUUAGGAUACUUUAAAAGAGGUCUUAAUAUCUUAGAAAGAACUGGUGUAAAAAAAAAACUAUGGAGGGGUUAGUGCUGAGAUUAAAAGAGGUUUUAUAAUAAAAAUAAUACCCGUAUCCUUUUAUGGAAAGGAUAUGGAUAAGUUCAUACCAAAAAAAAUUAAGAGUAUAAUAGAAGGAACUGGGAUGCAAGGUUAUAACCAAACCAGUUCUAUAAUUAUAGAAAUUAGGUGAAAACGGUCAAAGAUAUCCUAAAAUCCAACGUAAGAAAGAUUUUGACUAUAUAGUAAAAUAAUAGUUUAAUCUAAGACCGUCGGCAGUUAUAAAUGCCGCUACAGAUUGGAUCACCAGGGUAGAGCUGUAAUCUGGCUCAUCCAAAUGUACAAUCGGAUUCGGUAACGAGAAUAGGCAAAGUCUACUCGUAAGGAGGCGGGAUACAUCCCCUUAAUAAAACUAAAACUAUUUUGCUAUAAGGGCUUAUACAUAUAGGCCCAUAUAGAGCGGCUAUAAUGGCCCCUUCCUUAUAGGUAAAAUAUUAUAUGCAUAAUAUUUUACCAUGGCCCUGGGGGGUCAUUCAUUAAUAAUGAAUGAAUGACUCAUUCUUAUGUAAUAAGAAUGUCCCCCACUCUUCUAUUCACGUCUAGAAGAUGGGGCCUAAGGCGUAAAAGAUUCGUGAAUCUUGAUUUCGCUUGGUAUCAGGAGGGGGGGGGGGGAUGGUUUAUUUACGCGAUAAUUGUUAACUCCUAGUUAAUCCGAAUUGAAUCACUAGACCGUUUCUGACACCAGUAGUGAAGUAUGUCGUUUAAUUCGAUAACCCGCGAACAAUCUUACCACAUUUUGUAUAAUAAUAAUUCUUAACAAUGAUUAUUAUUACAGGUGUUGCACGGCUGUUUUCAGUUAAUGUCUUGAAACUGUGGUUUCCAUGGAAUUAGCGAAAUCCUCUACUUUAUUUAUUAUAAAAUUACAAUAAAGUGUUUUCUCCUUUAUAUCUAGGUAAAAAAAAGAGGAGCAAGACAAGUCAUCAUGGCCCAAAUAAUGUGGGCUACAGACGUGCUGCAUAUACCUACACAAAGAGAAGCCAAAAAUGUGAAUUUAAGCUAAUCUCAAAAAAUAGGAUAUAAUACUAAAUGGAUUGUAGCCUGGAACUCGGCUGCAUGAAUAAGUAAUUACUAGUAAUCGUGAAUCACCAGACGUCACGGUGAAUGAGCAUCGGAUUGGUACUAACCACUCGUCGCAUGCUGAAAAUGGGGUGCGCAAUAAGUUUGCAUUCUUUUAAUAGUAAAUGAACAUAAGGGUUUGUAAAAAAAAUAGCAACUAUAUUAUUAUUCGGCGCCGGAGUAAUUCGGAAUAGCUACUUGCCUUUCUUCCCCCUUCUUAUUUACUCUCUUAGGAUAAAAGAAGUAAAAAAAAAAUAGGAUGGUAGGAGAGGCGAGUGAGUAAGGAUUUUCAAAAAAAAAUAUCUUACGUCUUUAGAGAGAUGUGGUAAAUUGAAAGGGGGGUGUGCUUCUUAGUAAGUUUCCAUAUUUAUCCCAGUAUGGGUAAUGAGGAGUAAUAAUAAUAGCACUAAUUAUGUGAAUAAGUAGUGGGGGAUCUUAGUGGCUAUCUCUAUUAAGUAGGAUAAGUUUCGUAUGCGUGGCUGUAAUUAGUGUU